GUGGGAAGAAAGACAUUUGGUAUAAUACUUCUUUGACUGAAAAGGAAAUUGGAUUUUACCUAUUGCAAAGGAGGAAAAUGAGAGGAAGAACUAUGAGUGAAGAAAUAAACACGUUGAAGCUGUAAACUUCCAAACCAAAAGCAUGUUCAAGAUGGACAUUGAUAUUGACUGGACUUGCACAUGCAUAUUCCUGCACUGUGAAUUAGCUGACCAUGGCUCACAGCUUCACCCUGCUCUGCUGAAUUGCCCUUGUCUGAUGGGAACCACUUUGCUGGAGAUACCUGGAUGAAAUUGCAUUCUAAAAGCUUAAAGCUUGUAACUUACCAUAUUUUUUGAAACUCUACUUUAUUCUCAGCCUUAUAAUUUAUCCUCUAUUCAAAGCUAUCUACAGAUUCAAUGCAAUCCCUAUCAAAAUCCCAAUGACACUUUUUUUUUACAAAAAUAGAAAUAAUUUUAUAAUUCAUAUCAAAGCACAAAAGACCCCAAAUGGUAACAUGCAUUUAUGGCCAAGUGUUCUUCAACAAGGCUGCCAAGAAUGCAAAAUGGAGAAAGAAUAGUCUCUUUAAAAAAUGGUGCUGGGAAAACUGUUAUACCACACACAAAAAUCAACCCAAAAUGGACUAAAGACUCAAACAUAAAGCUUGAAAUGGAAAAACUCCUGAAAGAAAACAUGAGGAGAAAACUCUUUGACAUUGGUCUUGGCAAUGAUUUUUUUGUAUGUGACAUCAAAAGCAGAAGCAACAAAAGCAAAAUUGGACAAUUGAAACUACAUCAAAGUGGAAAGGUUCUGCAUCCAAAGGAAACAAUAAACAGAGUGUAAAGGCCACCUAGAGAAUGGAAGAAAAUAUUUGCAAGUCAUAUAUCUAAUAAGAUUUUAAUAUUCAAAAAUAUAAGGAACUUCUACAACUCAAUAGCCAAAAAGAAAAAUAACCCAAUUAAAAAUGGCCAAAGGACUUGAGUAGACAUUUCUUGAAAGAAG
rnacentral:lncRNA from 10 species